UACGUAGGUGGCAAGCGUUGUCCGGAUUUACUGGGCGUAAAGAGCUCGUAGGCGGUCUGUCACGUCGGCUGUGAAAACCCGAGGCUCAACCUCGGGCCUGCAGUCGAUACGGGCAAACUAGAGUGUUGCAGGGGAGACUGGAAUUCCUGGUGUAGCGGUGAAAUGCGCAGAUAUCAGGAGGAACACCGGUGGCGAAGGCGGGUCUCUGGGCAACAACUGACGCUGAGGAGCGAAAGCGUGGGGAGCGAACAGG
rnacentral:rRNA from 1 species